ensembl:lncRNA
CGGGUCCCGGGGGGAGCGGGGCACAGCCAGCUCCCCGGCACCGUGGGUCGCUCUGCGGCAGCCCCUACUCCAGGCUCGCCCCCCAGAGUUUGCCCGCGGGGAAGCUGCCUGUGGCUGAGAGGAGCCGAGGUGCCGGCAACAACCAGCACUGGGACCUGGGCUGACUUCAUACCUGCAGCGCCCGAGUAGGCGUCCCAAGCAGCCGCUUCGCUCAGCUGCAGCACUCUGACCGGGGAACUCGGUGGGGUCGUCUAACUGGGAUUUCUGCCGGCCCUAGAGCCUGCUUUGCGACCCUCUGCCCGCGCCAGGCAAGGAGGGCGUCUCCCGACCCGGUCUCACCGGAGAAGCGGACACCUAGAAGCUGCGCCGCCAGUAGCGCGGAGGCUGAGAGGUAGGUGGGCGGGGCUGACAGCCUCCUGAGAAAAGCUGGCCACGCGUGGACGGUUCCCCUCCUACCGCCCCGGCGUGGAGACUAAUUCAGAACCGAAGCUAAGGGUAGCUCGAGGCCCACGCCGCCCGGAAAGCUGGAGUGACCCAGGCAAAACUAUCCUUUACAAAUGAAGGAGAAAUAAAGACAUCAUCACUGGCUGACUUACCCUUAAAAAAUGGCUAAAGGAAAAUCUUCUGACUGAAAGGAUAUGAUGAAGGCGGGACUCUUGGAGCGUGAGGAAGGAAGGAAGAAACACCAACAGCAAGAGCAGAAAUAAACAUGCAAAGAAACUAGCUCACUCACAGAUUACUGCUCUGAAUGUAAAAUGGUACAGAUACACCGGAAAACGGUUUGGCAGUAUUUUACAAAACUCACCUACUACCACAGGACCCAGCAACCGUGUGUGCUCUUAGGUGUCCUCCCAGAGAAAUAAAAACUGAUGUUCAUAUAUGAGCCUAUACAUGCGCAUUCAUAGUAGCUUUACUCCAAAGAGCCAAAAACUGGAAACAACCCGAAGUUCUUCCACCAGUGGAACACCCACACUGUGGAACAGCGCUCAGCAAUAAAAAAAGAAAGUACUGGGAAUUUCCUGGUGGCCUAAUUGUUAAGGAUUCGACACCGUCACUGCUGGGGCUCAACAGCAGGGUUCGAUCCCUGGCUUGGGAACUUCUGCAUGCUGCGGACAAAGCCAAAAAAAAAAAGUACUGAUAUACACAGCAACAUAAGAUGAAUCUCCAGGGAAUUAUGGUGAAUGAACAAAGGCAGUUCCUAAAGGUUAUAUACUAUGUGAGUCUAUAAAACUCUCGAAAUGAAAAAUUAUAAAGAAAAUAAAUUAGUACUUGUCAAGGGCAGGGACAGGGCAGGGUAAGGGUAGGAGCAAGAGAGGAGAAAGGUGGGUGUGGUUUUAAAGGGCAACAGGGGAGUUCCCAUUGUGGCGCAGUGGAAACAAAUCCCACCAGGAACCAUGAGGUUGCAGGUUUGAUCCCUGGCCCCGCUCAGGAGGUUAAGGAUCCUGCAUUGCCGUGGCUAUAGUGUAGGCCGGCACCUGUAGCUCCGAUUAGACCCCUAGUCUGGGAACCUCCAUAUGCCUUGGGUGUGGCCCUAAAAAGCAAAAAAAUAAAAAAAUAAAAAA